GAGCGCUGAUGAAAGGUUUUACUCCUGACCUUUGUGAAGUUUUCUACAUUUGAUCUGAGCUCG
ensembl:snoRNA